UACGUAGGGUGCGAGCGUUAAUCGGAAUUACUGGGCGUAAAGCGUGCGCAGGCGGCUUCGCAAGUCAGACGUGAAGUCCCCGGGCUCAACCUGGGAAUUGCGAUGGAGACUGCAAGGCUAGAGUUUGGCAGAGGGGGGUAGAAUUCCACGUGUAGCAGUGAAAUGCGUAGAUAUGUGGAGGAACACCGAUGGCGAAGGCAGCCCCCUGGGUCAAGACUGACGCUCAUGCACGAAAGCGUGGGGAGCAAACAGG
rnacentral:rRNA from 1 species